rnacentral:lncRNA from 1 species
GAACAGGUACGACUCAUACUAGGACAUAUAGCUCAGAAGAAACUGGGUUUCUGCCCAGUGACUACCACAGUUUUUCCACCCAAGAAGGGGAGACUAGGGCGAGUGGGCAUUUUUGCAUUUCGUCUGAGGAGGCGGAUGAGCAGGGUGACCAGGAACCUUCCAGAGUUGUCACAUCAGACAGUAGACAGUCUGAGAAGUGGCACCUCCCACCGUGUCUGUUACCUGCAGGUGAGACUUACGAGCAGAUGUGCUUACAUCUGUGAUGGCACUCUCCCUGCCCUUCCUUCCCUUCCUGUAAUGUUCUUUGAAAACUGUUGGCUCUGCAUUUGCUUUGCUUCGUCAAGGGCAUAGAUCUUGUUGCUAUGAAUAGGGAGCAGUUUAAAAUGUUGUCUGACUAACUGGCUUUUUAGUAGUAACACAUGGUCACCCUUACAGAUAAAUAUCUUAUCCCUUCACUCCUAUUUUCCCAGAAGUUACCUCUCUCCUCCCAGCUAGUAAAAAAAAAAAAAAAAAA